GGAGAGAUGACCGAGUGGUUGAAGGUGGCGCCCUGCUAAGGCGUUGUACGGUGUCAAGCUGUACCCCGGGUUCGAAUCCCGGUCUCUCCGCCA
rnacentral:tRNA from 1 species